rnacentral:lncRNA from 1 species
GUGGGCGGAAGCAGGGGAUUCUAAGCUGGUCGCUGGUACCGAGGUAGACUCUUAGAAUGCAGCUUGUGUUGAGGGAUUUGGAGUUCCGUCCUGAGAAAUCCACAAGUCAGGUGACCUAAACCUCCUUCACUGUGUUUAUAAAUAAAUUCGACUUCUCCAGGGAAGAGAAAUGUAGAAGAAUAUUUUAAGGCACAUGAAGGUUACUACAAGCUGGUUGGAACCAGACUGUAUUGGCCCAGGGACUGACUGUCCACAGUAUCGUCCUAUGAUGGGUGAUCCAGGGGAGUCACCAUUCCUGACAGUGACCGAGUCUGACGUGCAAGUUGGAUGGUUCUCCACACUAAAGUCACUAAAUGUGAGCUGCAGAAGAGAAAAGGCAUGAUGAGUCCCCAUGAGCUGAAACGGAGUCACCCUAAAAGGAGUCACCCUAAAAGGAGUCACCCUAAAAGGAGUCACCCUGCCUCCAGGCAGCAAGUUUUCUACAGAAGAUUUGAUUUCCUUGAGAAGCUUGGUUCAUCAGUGAUGCCUUGAUCCUUUUGUAUCAUGAAAAAAAGAUGAAAGAUGUCUUUGAGGAUAAUUUCCCAAAUAGCCCCAUGUGCUUCUCUUCAUUGGUAUGCUGUGGAGGGUUUUUAAACUUCUAAGGCCUAAA